CUUACACAUGCAAGUCGAACGGCAGCACGGGUGCUUGCACCUGGUGGCGAGUGGCGAACGGGUGAGUAAUACAUCGAAAUCUGUCCUGUAGUGGGGGAUAGCCCGGCGAAAGCCGGAUUAAUACCGCAUACGAUCUACGGAUGAAAGCGGGGGACCUUCGGGCCUCGCGCUAUAGGGUUGGCCGAUGGCUGAUUAGCUAGUUGGUGGGGUAAAGGCCUACCAAGGCGACGAUCAGUAGCUGGUCUGAGAGGACGACCAGCCACACUGGGACUGAGACACGGCCCAGACUCCUACGGGAGGCAGCAGUGGGGAAUUUUGGACAAUGGGCGAAAGCCUGAUCCAGCAAUGCCGCGUGUGUGAAGAAGGCCUUCGGGUUGUAAAGCACUUUUGUCCGGAAAGAAAUCCUUGGCUCUAAUACAGCCGGGGGAUGACGGUACCGGAAGAAUAAGCACCGGCUAACUACGUGCCAGCAGCCGCGGUAAUACGUAGGGUGCGAGCGUUAAUCGGAAUUACUGGGCGUAAAGCGUGCGCAGGCGGUUUGCUAAGACCGAUGUGAAAUCCCCGGGCUCAACCUGGGAACUGCAUUGGUGACUGGCAGGCUAGAGUAUGGCAGAGGGGGGUAGAAUUCCACGUGUAGCAGUGAAAUGCGUAGAGAUGUGGAGGAAUACCGAUGGCGAAGGCAGCCCCCUGGGCCAAUACUGACGCUCAUGCACGAAAGCGUGGGGAGCAAACAGGAAAAGAUACCCUGGUAGUCCACGCCCUAAACGAUCCGCUCUAGUUGUUGGGGAUUCAUUUCCUUAGUAACGUAGCUAACGCGUGAAGUUGACCGCCUGGGGAGUACGGUCGCAAGAUUAAAACUCAAAGGAAUUGACGGGGACCCGCACAAGCGGUGGAUGAUGUGGAUUAAUUCGAUGCAACGCG
rnacentral:rRNA from 1 species